UUUAGUUUUAAAUUUUAAUUUUAAAAAUUUAGUUUUAAAUUUUGGAUUUUUUUUCUUUUUAGUUUUCGACUUUUCUUUUCCAAGUUAGGUUUAAUUCAAUAGUUCCCUUCUGAUAAUAAUAAUUUAUAAUUUCACUUUCUCAACCUCUCGGAUUUAUUACCGAUUUCCGGCUCUAGUUCCUGGCGGCCAACUACUUUAUCGGAAGUAUCUCCCAAAUGAGGAUAGGGUAGAUGGAUAUUUCCUGUUCGUGACGUGUCCAGAUGUCAAAGUAGUUUGAGGAGAAUUACCUAUAUAAGAUUUUAGGAAAAUCUUGGUUAAUCAACCUCGCGACUCACUGAUCCCUAGGCCAGAGCUCUAACCUAACUCGCGCACGCGUGGUUAAUGUUCACACGCGGGAUGAAAUUUACGAGACAAAAGGAACCGAAUCGAACGUCCGUCUAUGUGUCCCGGUAUUUCACUGUACUGUAGUCGGAAUAUCACCAAAUAUACCCUAGCACCCCAGGCGUGGUGAUGCUAAUGCGGCUGCUCCCUCGAUGGAUGAAGUUUGGUGUUGAGUGGCUUGCAGGUUUGUUUAUUUAGCUUUUUCUUAUUUUUAUUUUGAAGAUUUAGUUUUAAGUCUAAUGUUAAGUUUACAAUUUCUUUUCAAUAAAAUUUAUUUAAUUUAUAAAAAAAACAAAAAUUUAGUUUUUUUUUGUAUGACGGAGCCACAACUCCACCUUCUUCUUUGUUGGCCCAGUUCGAUUAAAAAAAGAACGAAUUUGUCCUCGUUUCCUGCCUCGAAACCUAGCUUUAUCGAAAAGAUGGCUGAUAUUUUUUUUUUCAGCUAUUUAAAAUUCAUAGUUUUGUUCAUUUGUUUUUGUUUACCAAAUUUCCAUUUGUCAAAGAUGACAAGAAUUAUAGAAAAUCCCUUUAUUUUUUUGUUUACUCUUCUUCUUUUUAUUAGUAGCUGUUUAUUAGGGAGGUGCACACUACAAACCCCACCAUUCCUGUUAUCCAUCCCUGGAUACAGGAUGGGAGGGAAAAAAUCGCACCCUAAAUUUUCCU